ACUUCGGGCGCUCACUUUAGUGACAAUGGUUGAUCUAUACUUCGCGAGAAGUCAUACUAGCUCGACCAUAAUGACGUCACACGGAAACUAUAGUCGGACCCUCGUGCUGCUCGGAGAAUUAUAGAGCAUGAGCACACUGACAGCAAAGUGGACUUGCCAUUUGUGCCACCAAAAGCCAUCAAAGUACAGCAUACCAAGCCUUGAGGCCCAGGAAGCUUCCAAAAAGACCCGGAUAUUUGUGGAUGGUGAUUUCAGGAUUAUUUUGAGGUGCAGUGGAUGUUCCUUAGCCUUUCAUGCCAGCUGUGCACUCUACGAGGUGGAAGUAAUAUUGACUGAAGAAGAUACAGAAGUUCUGUGCGACUAUUGUGCUUCCUAAUAUGGACCAAUGUACCAACAAAGAAGCCACCAAAGUGCUGUUGAACAUAAACAUAAAGGGAGUAAAUAAGGAAAUUGCCUGCUCGAAGAAUGUUGCUGAUAUUUUGCUGUGUCCAACAACUG